UCCUACGGGAGGCAGCAGUGGGGAAUAUUCCGCAAUGGGCGCAAGCCUGACGGAGCAACGCCGCGUGAGGGAAGAAGGCCUUCGGGUUGUAAACCUUUGUUCUAUGGGAAGAAAGAAAUGACGGUACCAUAGGAGGAAGCCCCGGCUAACUACGUGCCAGCAGCCGCGGUAAU
rnacentral:rRNA from 1 species